rnacentral:rRNA from 1 species
GACCCCUUCGGGUUAUAGGGUCAAGCAAUGAAGCGCACACGGUGGAUGCCUAGGCAGUCAGAGGCGAUGAAAGACGUGGUAGCCUGCGAUAAGGUUCGGUGAGGUGGCAAACAACCUGUGACCC